rnacentral:rRNA from 1 species
CUUGGUAGCCAUAGCAAAAAUGAAACACCCGAUCCCAUCUCGAAUUCGGAAGUGAAACUUUUUAGCGCCGAUGGUACUUGUAAAAGGGAGAGUAGGUCGCUGCCAAGU